rnacentral:tRNA from 2 species
AGGCUCGUGGCGCAGUUUGGUUAGCGCACCACGUUGACAUCGUGGGGGUCGGCGGUUCGAGUCCGCCCGAGCCUA